GGCUCAGUGGUGGAUGGUCCACACCUGCUUUCCAUGCAAAGCGAUUGGACAAUUAAGUCAGCAGGAGGAGCCGGUUCGAAUCAGGCCUGAGCCA